rnacentral:rRNA from 1 species
GUGAGGAAUAUUGGUCAAUGGGCGAGAGCCUGAACCAGCCAAAUCGCGUGAAGGAAGACUGCCUUAUGGGUUGUAAACUUCUUUUAUACAGGAAUAAAAAAGGGGACGUGUCCCUUAUUGCAUGUACUGUAUGAAUAAGCAUCGGCUAACUCCGUGCCAGCAGCCGCGGUAAUACGGAGGAUGCGAGCGUUAUCCGGAUUUAUUGUGUUUAAAGGGUGCGCAGGCGAGCUUUUAAGUCAGCGGUGAAAUCUCGGGGCUUAACUCCGAAACUGCCGUUGAAACUGGGAGUCUUGAGUAUGGAUGAAGUAGGCGGAAUUCGUUGUGUAGCGGUGACAUGCUUAGAUAUAACGAGGAACUCCGAUUGCGUAGGCAGCUUACUAAGCCAUAACUGACGCUCAAGCACGAAAGCGUGGGGAUCAAACAGGAUUAGAUACCCUUGUAGUCC